AUCUUUAUUUAUAACUCAUUGUAUACAUGUCUUAAGAUUGACCUGUUUUGAAAUCUCUUUUGACGUAUGCAAUUCUGAAGCUCCUUCUUAAAGCAAGCGUGGAAAACCCAUGAACUUUGAAUUAAAUCCUCGGCAACACCACUCUUAUAAUAGCAAUACGUAAUAUUUUGGCUUUCCAUUAGACAAGAUAUGAUGAACUUCUCCUCUAUAUUUAGAAAUAAUAACUGUUCGAAUAAUGCAAAAAGAAAAGGGUCCGAACAAACAGGCUUUACAAAAUACAGUAUCGCAACAUACCAGUACAGACAAUUAAACUUGGACAAAAUAGAUAAUAUUCUAUAUAAGAAAACACAUUAAGAACCAAUUAAAUUAUCAACCCCAUUGAAAGUCAAUAGAUUAUGUUAAAUGAAAUUAAUCUUACAGACGUUUUCAGGAGUUUUUAUAUAGACAUAUAGACAAAAUUAAAACUGUUUAAUAGAAUUUCUUAAGACUUACAAGAACAGUUGGGAUAUGACACAUUAUCAUUACGGCAUCAAGUUUGCCCGAAAUCAUAAAUUUAAAAGGUAAAACAGCUCACCAACUAUUUCAAUUUUACACCAUUAUUUAUGACAAUUGAGUCCAUUAUAUGUCAUUAACUUAUCAAAAUGUUGGCAACUCAACUCAUUAGUAGAACAAAGCACGGUUUUAAUCGAAGACGUUAUAAUUAUUAUGACAAAUAUGUUAUUAAGAUAGCGUAAAGUAGUACAAAUCUUACUUUGAAUGUGUAUUGAAUAUUUCAAAAUACUUUGGAAUGUUCAAUGAAAUCAACCAUCAUCGUUGUCAAUCCUAGAACACACCUAUUUAUAAGUAUUCUAGCGGAAACAAGUGUUAUACAUUCGUAUAUAUUGCAUUACUUCAUAAACUAAUUUUAGAAUAAAAUUUCCAUGGUUCUAGCUAUAUAAGGUACAUAUUUUGAUAUAGAUAUAAAGACCAACCAUGGGCGAUAUAAACGAAAAUUGGAGCUUAACCUUAAAAAAAUCAAAUGAUUCUAGUUAUUCAGAGGACCACAUAGCUGUUUAUGGAUGCGAAUAUAAAGAACCUCCAGGCGACUGGUAUAUAAGAGGAACUAGGUUUCAUGUCCGUAAUUUGAUAAGAGUUUGUUAUUGUGGAAGGUAUAAGAACAGAGAAAAAAUGUUAGACAGAGAAUCAAUAAAAAUAUAUGAGUAUGACGACGGCGUAGAACUGCAUGUAGAAGAAGAUUGUAAAUAUAACCCAAAGCGAAUUCCAGUUGAAUUACAAAGGUACGAAUCAAAAGGGUCACUCCAAAAACUUGUCCAACAUGACAGGUACUGCAGCUGUGAGGAUAAGAUUUGGCCUGUGGCUCAACGAUAAUCACUUUAAAGUAUGUUGUUUAAAGAAAAAAGAUUUUGAGAUUACGAUCAUCUGGUAACAUAUACUUGUAACACAGCCGUGAAAAAGAAAACAACAGAAAAGCCUGUUCAAAUAAUUGAUAUGUUGUGACUAUGUUCGAUUUCACAUAUCGGUGACCUUGUGAUAUAUAUUUGAAACACAGCCUUGGCAGAAACAGCAUGGAAACAAAUAAAACUAUUUCAUUCCGAAAGAGAUGCAAAAGGCAAAGAAUUACCCAAGGAAAGAAGAAACAUUAAAGAUAAAAGAUAGAUGAAACGUAUAAUUAGGACUUUUCAACGCACAAUAUUUCGUUAUAUGUUAUACUUUUGUGUGAUUUCUUAUGUCAAGGGUUCAAACACUUGUUUCUUGCUUAGGAAUAUAAGUAUUGUAUUUGGAUAUAAACAAUAUAGUUUGAAACAACAAAUCUUCUUUUACUAUAAUUUGCUAUUUAAAAUAAUGUGUUUAAGAUGUGUUUAAUUAAAUAUUGCAAAACAAAUGGUAAUUUUAUUUUUUCUCGCUUUUAAAUAUUUUCAGUUUUUCAAACAAAUAUCUGUCGAAUUUUAUAUUCAAAUUGCUUCCUGAGUUUGAAAUGAACACUUAUGCAAUGUCCAAAAUGUUCUACCUUUUUGCUCAUUGCUGUGCAUGUUAAGAUAAUCAUAUAUCAUUAGUUAUUACAUACAUUCGAAACAGG